rnacentral:misc_RNA from 1 species
GAUGAAGAACGUAGCGAAAUGCGAUAAGUAGUGUGAAUUGCAGAAUUCAGUGAAUCAUCGAAUCUUUGAACGCACAUUGCGCCCUUUGGUAUUCCUUAGGGCAUGCCUGUUCGAGCGUCAUUUAAACCUUCAAGCUAAGCUUGGUGUUGGGUGACUGUCCGCUUCACUGCGGACUCGCCUCAAAAUUAUUGGCGGCCGGUACAUUGGCUUCGAGCGCAGCAGAACCGCGAACUCGGGCCCGUCGUAUUGGCUCCCAGAAGCUAUCUUCACAAUUUUGACCUCGGAUCAGGUAGGGAUACCCGCUGAACUUAAGCAUAUCAAUAAGCGGAGGA